rnacentral:rRNA from 1 species
GAUGAACGCUGGCGGCGUGCCUAAUACAUGCAAGUCGAGCGAAGCGGGGACGGGUGAGUAACACGUGGAUAACCUCCUCUAAGACUGGGAUAACUUCGGGAAACCGGAGCUAAACCGGAUACUUAUAGAAGGAUCCGUGUUGAAUUAGCUAGUUGGUAAGGUAACGGCUUACCAAGGCAACGAUGCAGAGCCGACCUGAGAGGAGGAUCGGCCACACGGGAACUGAGACACGGUCCAGACUCCUACGGGAGGCAGCAGUGGGGAAUAUUGCACAAUGGGCGCAAGCCGGAUGCAGCCAUGCCGCGUUGAUGAAGAAGGCCUUGGGGUUGUAAAGUACUUUCAGCGGGGAGGCGUUACCCGCAGAAGAAGCACCGGCUAACUCCGUGCCAGCAGCCGCGGUAAUAC